rnacentral:lncRNA from 1 species
CAUGGGAAUAAUCAACACUGUGGAUCUUAUUGGAAUACUCUCUAUGAUUUGUUUUCCUUGUACUUGUUUUUGAUUUAAGGAUGUGGCAUAUAAAUUGCUAAUUAAUCUCACAUACUGUAGUAAUCAAGUAUUGUGCUAGAGAAGUGACUCCAAGGAUAAAGAAUCUUGUUAACGACCAUGAGGAUCUGAGUUCAAUCCUGGCACCAACAUAGUUGAAGGAAAGAAGUAGUUCCUGAAAUUAUUCUUAGACUUCCACAAAUGCACCAUGAUGGCUCCACCCAUAAAAUUUCUGUAAUUAAAAUAUUUCUUGAUGUCAAAUCCUUAAAUAAUGAAAUAAUUAUACAAAUUUGAUUUCUGAGUGUUUCAGACAUUUUAAAGAAAAGUAAAAUUCAGAAACAAUCAUAACUCUGCUCUUGGACCACUUCUGUACACCUCUAUGUCUGGCCCUGUGGGUCACAGGUGACUUUCAAAUCUUAGUAAGGAUUUUCCUAAAAUAUGACCAGCUGUUGAAAAUCCAGGUCAUGAGCCUACUCAGUUUUUAUGGUUCUCUACUUAUGGAAGUAGAAAUUUGUACAGUUUGAUAAGAAAGAGAUUCAGCUGUUUUUGAUGUUUCUUAACUUCUCCCACCCCUUUCCAGGGAAGCUUCAUGCCUGGACAAGCCAUGAAGCAGUAGAGUGCUCCUCAUACCUUUGAAGUAGAAAAGAUGCCUGCCUGUUUGUGUAACAGGCUGGGGAAGAUUCCAAUACAGAGCUAAUCAGAUUGGCCUCAGAAAAAAUACUAACUUAUUCGUUUUGUUCCUGUCUUUCAGUGUAGAAGACUUCUGUAUUUUUUAAAAUACAAUUUUAUUUCUUUCAACGAAUUUAAAAAAAAACACCUUUGGAACAACAAGAACAACAAAAGUAUAAUUACUUCUUCUAUUGCUUGCAUUGAAGAAAUGCUUUAAAGUAUCAUCAUAUUUAAUAUUUCUCCAUCAUUUCACUUAUAAUCAAUAAUGUCGGUAAACAAAAAUUAAAAAAAAAACAAUCAUG